UACAGAGGUCUCGAGCGUUUGUUCGGAUUCAUUGGGCGUAAAGGGUGCGUAGGUGGCGCUGUAAGUCGGGUGUGAAAUCCUGAGGCUUAACCUCGGAACUGCAUUCGAUACUGCGGCGCUUGAGGACUGGAGAGGAGACUGGAAUUCAUGGUGUAGCAGUGAAAUGCGUAGAGAUCAUGAGGAAGACCGUGGCGAAGGCGGCAUCCUGGACCAACACUGACGCUGAGUGAGCGAAAGCCAGGGGAGCAAACGGG
rnacentral:rRNA from 1 species